GUGAUAUCUGAGAUACAACAGAGAGAGCUCAUUUCCAACUCCCCUUUUAAAUAACAGAGCUCAAUGUUGAAUAAAAAGACGCCUUCUCCUGUAAGCAACAGCAGUGGGGUAGCAACAGAGUUCUGCAGGAGAUGAGCUCUGCAGUGGGAGGUCAGAUGUUUCAUCAAACCAAAUCCAGUAGACACUGAACAAAACUUGAGUGGCUUUGAGGUUCGGUGUCCUUCUAAAUCCUUUUAUUUUUCCCAAUCAAGGCAGGGGAAAAGAGCCAUUUGUUAGAAAAAUAGUGUCAGAGAAGUUACAGAUGACAUUUGCCAAUGUUAUACCAUCAAAGCAAAAUCUCUGUCAGAUCUGUAAACAAUAACUUUUCACACAAAUGUCUACAGAGCCCCGGGUGUGUGCCUUUCAGCACGGAGUUCUUACAUCAUGCAUUCAUGGCAAGGGGAAGAGGCACCAUUGCCUCUCCCCAUUCUGCAUAUCCAAGGGUCAGGCACAUUUGAAUUCAGAUAAAAGAAGAACUUCAGGUAUUGUGAAUAUAUUCCACCAAGUUUUGUGCAAUGAGCUUACAUCCAUUUGCCAUAUUUCUUUCCUAAUGGUGCAUUUCCCACUCAUCUUCUUGUUCCUGACUCACUGAAAUCUUAAACAAAAUACUUCCAUCCAAGCUUUUGGAACAGAAUAAAUACCUACAUGCACUGCGUGCAAACCUGCACUGCUAUUACAUGAGCCACGCUGAAAACACAACUCUGGGUCAUCCUUCCAACUUCUGGUGGUGCUUCUCCCAGUUUUGCAGGAUACACCAUCCCAGCCUAUUCCUAAGAGUUGAGAUUUUGUUGUAUUGCUUUAUUUUAUUUUAUUUAUUUUAUUUUAUUUUAUUUUAUUUCAUUUCAUUUCAUUUCAUUUCAUUUCAUUUCAUUUCAUUUUUUGUCCAGGGAUGAGUGUUUUUAAGCUUCCAAUGAUUUGCAGAAGGAUGUGAUGCCUCACAGUAUUGGGUCAGGCAUUUCCUGAAGGAUUUUCUGGGCACUAGAGAGACCAUGUGAGAAAUUCUGCUCAACUGCUGUUGAAGUAACAGGGCCUACACAACAGUAGAUUUUCACUUCUAUAUUUAUAGCAAAAUGGAAACAAAAUGUGCUUUGAAGUAAACAGCACAAUCACUGGAGAACCCACCAAUAAAAAACACACCAGCACUGUCAGAUAACUCAGCCCCUUUAAAGACUGAAACCACUGCCAGGUACGCGGUAGCUGAAGGACAUCUAUGCCAAGAAUUUGAUGUCAUCACACUGUUUUUUGUUCCUUCUCCCUCCCCGUCAUACAAGGAAGGUGAUGAAGCAUCAUGACCACAAGCUGCGUCAUCCGGAGUGUUUGCUCUGUGUGCAUUUUGGUUGCAUCAAUACAGGGAACAUCCUGAGGGCAGGAGGGAGCCCAGUACUUGAACUAAGCUGAACUGAGAGAAAAGGACAGGAGGGAGGUGUUGGAUCUGUUCAAGUUGGACACUGGGGGAUUUAUUUUUGGAAGAGACUCUUUGUGAAGGAGCAGAUCCUCUCUAGAAGUCCUUGGUAGCAGGAAUGACUUAAAAUCCCCCUUUGAUUCCUAACUUUAUUUGACUCUAGUGAGCCUCUUCCCUUGUCCCAGAGGAAGGCAAAAACUUCCACACAUAAAACCCACUCUGCAUAGAUGAAAACAUCAGAGAAAAAAAAAUUCUAAUAACAAAAAAAAGGAAACUGGCAAUUUCACAAGGUUAGGAUGACCCACAGUGAGGCUGACCACGCAUCACACCUGCAGAAGGACGGAACGGGGAACCAUGACCAGACCCAGGACACAUCUGCCUUAUUGCUUCAUGAUGUCCUCUUACUCAUCUGUCUGAUGCUUUAAUGCCUCCUGGACUUUCCAGUGUGACUUAAACUGAGGCUGGGGUAUGGGGUAUGGCAUCACUGGAGCGUUCCCAUGAACCUGGACGUCAUCACCCAACACUGCCACGUUGGCAGAUCCAUGAGCUGGAGGGGUAUGGGAAGUAUGACUCAGGUCACCUGCCUUCCUACAUGCAAGCUUGAAGUCAUAAUAUGAGAAAACAGCAGAGAAAGCAGCACAGCCGCUGGUCAGCAGAGAGCUUUGCAUGCAAAGAGCCACUUGAGCUGCCCAGGCUCAAUGCCCAGAGCCCCACGUCCCCAUCCCUGUGCAGCCCCACAACACGAGUGAGUGAUGAUGCAGGCUCCCCAAGCUUCAGGGCAUGCUAAAUUGAGAUGUGCAUUUAUUAUGGUAAAAAAUGUGGGAAAUAGGAAGGGUUGUGAUUUCCCAAAUUACUUUUCUUCUCACUAACAGCAGCUGGCAGCAAAUAUAUUUAAAAUGUAAAUAUUUAAAUACUCACUAGCAAGCACAAUUACCUUUUUUUUUUUCUUGUUCACCACUCAACCCAUUCAGAGCCUAUAAAUACCCACUCAGGAAGCAAGCGUCUAUGCCGCUUUUGGGGAGCAAUCUGAAAAUCCUCAUUAAUUGACAUGGCUUAGUCAUCAGUGGUGAGGAUGGGCAUAGAACAUGGGCUUAGGUGGGUUUUUUUCCCUCUGUGUUUUAGAAGAGAUAAUGUGUGGCUAUGGAAUAAAACGCUGUGAUUCGUGACACAGAAAAUGAUCGUGGUGUCCAAAGAGGACGAUGCUUGUUUAUAGCACACGGAUUAGCGCCGCGAGGUUCCUUUAUGUUUCCCUGCGACUUCUUCUCCCUGUGAAACAACCCCACCAAACGCCUGAGAAAUGAACAUGCUUCAGCCUUUCUAUUUAUUUUCAUGAGCUGAAAGCAAGGGAAAAGCUCCUGCCGGCAAGCAAGGUGGAGGAGAAAGCAUUGCAGCUUCUUUCACCCACGCUGGCUGUAAAAUGUACAGAAAUGUAAAGCCAUAAAAUUUUUAUGAGGGGUUGUUUUUAUAAUGUUUACCAACCUCAUGCCUCUAUGACGCUUUCCAGCAGAUAGCGGUUUAAUAGGGCUCCUAUCUCCCAACCGAGAUAACCGUGAGGGAGAGCUCGGCUCUGUUUGCAGCAGCGUGGAGCUGCCCGUGCUCUGUGGUUUUGCAGUGCUUUCACCCAAUUUCAGCCCCUUUCGCUUUGGUAGAGGUCAGAUAUAAUGUGGAACCUUUGCCUCUGAUUAAGAAUUAAAAGCUGGAGGUGGGAAAGGAAUGCUCGAAAAGUGUUUCUUAAGAAAACAGCUAGGUUGCUGGUAGCGCUAUUAGUUUUGUUGCUAAUUAAAACAAAGUUGAGUUUGGUCUGACAGUUCCUCUGAGCGGCGAUUCUGUAAAGAAUCCCAUUAUGGGAAAUGGCCUGCUGUAUUUUCCUAAAUUUAACCAAUUUAUCUCUUGCGACCCCUCCAAAGAGCAGCUCCAGGGGCAGAGAAUAUCCCCUUUUCAUAAAAGAACUGUUUAUUAGCCCAAGGUUCAUCCCCUGAUUUAUCGAUUCGGAUUUGCAACGCGCAAUGGGCCGGGUGCGCAGCACACCAGUGUGCCUGUCGUAUGUUCCCAGCUGACGUGUUUACAAUAUUUUUGAUUUACACCUUCCAGGUGUUCUUUUGGAAAAUAUCACCACCUUCAGUUUACACAUUUUUUACAAUAUAUUUGUGGCCAUCGGCGAGCUUCCACAUUUGUUACGGAGGAUGUGCCAAGAAGGAGGGCUUUUAUUUUCUUUAACUUGCUGGCAAGAUAUAGAUUUUUGGCUUUUAGAAAAACAGGAUUGAUUGACUGAAGGAGUAAAACCCCCAAAGUAUGUAUUUGGGAUGAGACGUGGUUAUUUGCUCAGGGCAAGGAGCUGGUUGUCAGGCUGGGGCUCCGCUGUGCCGAUCUCAAUCACUCCAUAAGAAGCUCAUCUUCACCAUAAAAUGGUGAAAAAUGGCUGCUGAGGUUCUGCAUCCUUAUGUUUUUUGGAGUUACAACAAUCACCAGCACACAGAAAAUCUGUGACACAGGGAGAGACUGAAAGGGGUCGAUGCACACGGCCGUGUUUUGCAGUGCAAAACUGCUGAAACGGUGCAGAUAAAGUCACCCUCCUGCUUUUUUGUUUCAUUUUCUGUAUGUUUAAUAUAGAAUUUAAAUGCCACGUUAUCAACGCCAUUUAAUUUCAGGAGUGGCUGCCAGAAGGCUCAGAAGGAGAAACUGUCAUUAAUUAGUGGUGCAAAGUAACUUCAGAAGUUAUUUUUUUUAUUAUUCAGAAGGAAAAAUACUCUGUUUGCACUGUGAGAAUGCUCCGAUGCUGUCCUUGAGCACCGAGAAUUUCUCUUUCAGUGUGGUCAGUAAACACUGCAUUUUGCUAUUUGCCUUUUUUCCCACACCGUGGCAAAACAUCAUUAGUAUUUCAUGACCACAUUUCAGCAAUGUUAUUUAAAAAAUACAGAUUUUAUUACACAAGGAGCCCAAUCCUCCAGUAUCUUUCCCAGAUAAAUAUGCAUGAGGAUACAUGGGACCUCUACCUGCAAAGAAAGGCAACUUCGAAGCAUUACCUGCUGCUCCCACUGCUUUUGUUACUGAAGCUCUUUGCUGAUUUAAUUUGAUUUUCAUCACGCUGUUAGCCAGGUGUGGGCUGGGGGCUGUGGUUGACACUGGGUCAGAAAUGUGAACCAUGUGAAGAAGCUGUUGGGAAAAAUGAAGCAAGAAGUGCAUAGUGUGUGUCACCCCACAGCUCAGGUGCGGUCCAAAGACCUCCGGCUUUAUCCCAUUUUAAUGUCAUAUUAUCAGCCUCUAUGCCGCAUGAGGCUGAAAAGAAGGAAAUAAAAAUAACAGAAUCACAGAAUGGCUUGGGUUGGAAGGCACCUCAAGGAUCAGCAAAAGUAUUGAUUAAUGGAAGGGAACGAAUCUCUGCCUUAUGUGUGCUGAAAUUGUGCGUUGGGCAACAGCGUGAAAAUCUACCAAUGCAGAUUAAUCUCCCCUUCUUUGCUCCGAGAUCACAAACAUCAGUGUUUGAAAGGUCCCCAGUUCAGCAUUCUUUGCGUUUGAUGGACACAAACACCAAGCGCUGAGCUGCGGCUCCCUAAGACCUUUUCUCCCACCUUCCCCGCUGGAGUCCAUCUCCAUAAGCACAAAAUCUCACAAUUCUAUGGUAAACAUUGGCUUACAUUGCCGAGGUGACUUUACAUGGUGUUAGCAAGCAAAUCCAGUGAUUGCAGGAUGGCGGUUAUUCCGCUGGUUUAAAAAAAAAAUAAGCGAAUACAUAACUUGGCCCCAAAGCCAGGAGAAAAGACGUGACAGUUGUCGAUGCCGGGUAAAGGGGCAGGCAGAUUAGCAGCCUUAUUUUUUAACAUAUAAACAUCUGAGACCCGUUUCCUGUUAAAAAAAAAAAAAGAGAGAGAACUUAGGUGGAUGACCUCAGGCAGGAUUUUUUUUAUUAGCAAACGUGAAUUGUACAUCACCAUGGAAAAAAAAAAAAUAGGCCAGUCUUGGUGGUCUCGAUCCGCUCUGGAUACGGGAGAGCGAGAGAGAGAAAGGGGAGGAAAAAAAAUACAUAUAUAUAGAAAAAUAAACUUUACCUUCUCGCUUUCAGGGUGGGCAAUGCCAUUUCGGCUUCGGGGUCUUCGGCUCUGGGAAGUGUUAGCGCUGUCACCGCCGCACCACCGCAGCGCUGCAAGGGAAAACAUUCCCCGCAUUCCUCCUCCUCUCUCUGCUAUCCGCGGAUCCGUGCGCUGCAGGUUCACGUUGCUACCGUCCGACUGCAUGGGACACAGCUAAUCUAAACCAGCGCCGACCCACCAUCCGACUCGGCAGUGAGGAAAAACAUUGACAAAUUUGCUGUUUAAAAUGCUUUCUACUCUUUCCAGUGUUUUGUUGUGCUUUUUUUUUUUUUUUUUUUUUAAAAGCUAUAAAUACACCCCGCCAGCUGCAACAUGUUGCACGAAGCCAGCUUUGCGGAUCAAGCGUCUUCUGACACAACGCCUUGCACUGGCGUUGGGUUAAUAUUUGAUACUGGGAGUCAACGUUGUGAUAUUUCUGUCCUUAGCGGUGACGAUGGUGUGGUUCUCCCGUGUUGCUCUGCAGAAAGAGCUUGGAAAAGGCACAACGUAAGGGCAGAACAGUCUCAAGCAUCUGCUUAGUUAUUGCAGCAUGAAAAUAAAACUAAGAACAAAAAGAUAGCUAUCUCUUAAGCCACUCGAGCAGGCAGCUUGCAGAGCGUCGGACUCAUUGGCGGUGCACUCCUUCAGAAAUCACAAUUUUCGGACGGGAAGAAUUGAAGAAUUUGGACAACAGAAGACAAACAGUUGCUGUCAGAGUGAGUGGAAAAAGAACCACAUGGCGUGCUCUGGCCAUUAAUAAUCCGCAUUGGCGUGGAGAUCUGUCUGCCAUCGCAUGCAGCACACUGCUACCUCCCAGUUUUUCUUGUUCCUUGGGCUUUCUCCCACUUGCUGAUUUUAUUUAGGGAGGAUUUUUAUUUUUAGUUAGGGAGAGAAAGGCAGGAAAAUGAAAAAAUUGGGCUCUUGACACUAAAAUCUUAUGCCAAACUUCCAGCAGCCCAGGGAAAUCAACUUCUUGUCCAAAUCCCAUCGGGAAAGGUUGAACUUGGGGACAUUGUGGUGAGGAGGGAAAAUCACUUUCUGCUGCUUUUCUCCAAGAAAAAAAAACCACAUUUAAAUGGUCACUCUUUGUUGAAGACACGUGUAAAAGCCUGGAGCUUAGCUUUCUUCUCUAGAAAUAACUGCUUUUUUAUGUUGGAUGAGGCUACUUAACCUCAUCCACUGAACUCCUCUGACCAACGCACGUGGUCAGGCUCCCAGGAACACAACAUUUGGCCCUGUUAUGCAUCAAAUUUCAUUUCCAGUCUGUGGAUUUAUUGACGUUAUAAUGGCCAGCCCACACAAACUGCAGCCAUGCAGCCAAUUAACAGGACAGACAACAACAGACAUUUGAGAAGUUGCUAAACUUGGUCUUGAAAACGAGCUCGCUUUAUCCCUGUAAACGGAUCUUGUUCUGUCAUCGUGCAUUAAACUGGAAAGCUUCACGUUGCAAAGUGGUACAAAAUCACAUCCUGAUAACCAAGGCCUCACAGAAUAUUUCAGCAGAUCGUAUCGCUUGUGGUUUUAUUUCAUAACUGCAAUGCAAACGCGAGGGUGGAUUCCAAGACAAAAAUAUCUGCAUAUGCUGAAAUGAAGUUCUCGGUGCAUCAUACUUAAGGUAGCCAGCAGCCAUGGGGGUCUGAUCCAUGAGCAUUUUUCCUCUGCCAAACCCACAAACACAAAAGCAAAACUACUAGGACCAUGUUUUUCCUCGUCCCAGAUUGAAAUGCAGAGAUCGAAAUCAACUGAAACAUUUUGGGAAAAUCAUGUUGACUUCACCGAACUGUUACCACCAUCAAAGGGCUUUCGAAGGUCACCACCUUUCUUUCUGACAUGAAAUGAAGCAUUGCAGAUAACGCAAUGUAUUUCUUUAUUUUAAAAAAGUUCAAAGGUCCAUUAAGGCUUCCACGUCGUACAAAAGACUUAAUUCACCGGAAGCCAUUUUUCUCUCCCAAUUGUUUGGAGCAGCAAGUGAACCAAACAAUCCGUUAUUCACACAGAUCUACCCAGAAACAUAUUUCCCAUGCCCAAGCCAUCUAUGCUUUGACUUAACAAAAAUAACUUCUAACUGGGCUGUUUUAAAACGCCGAAUUGGUUCGUAUUUGAGAGCUUGGUUGGGAGAUCUGGGUAGAAUUUAUAGCUACCUGUGGUAGGUGGAAACCAAAUUGAGAUGAAGAGCUGUACGAGAAAAUACGUUGAAUCUCUUUGUCCAAAAUUGAGGUCCAUACUCUGUACCUAAAGCUCAUAGCUCCAAGAUGAUGCUUGUCAAAAGACGCAUUAGAAGAGGAGAAUCGGUGUGGACAGACCAUUUUCUGGUGCAAUCAUCUCGUUUUAAGUGAAAUUUCUGCUUUCUCACCAUGGCUUUGGAAAAUAACAGCUUUCGGUGCUUUUGAAGAGCAUGGUUCACUACUCUUACAUCCAGCCUGUCCAAGUUGCCCUGUGUAAUAGCAAUGUUAUUUCCUUUAUAUUAUAAAUAGGAUUUGGGUUGAAUAUGAAUAAACUCAUACCCAUUGGUAUGCUUUGUAACUCUAAUCAGUGCUUUCCUGCAAAAAAAAAAAAAAAAAGAAAAAAAAAGAAAAGAAAAAAAAAAGAAAAAAAAAAGAAUGUUUAUCCGAAAAAUAAAGAGGUGCUAAUUUUAUCUUGUGAAAGUGGAUAUCUCCUUACGUCCCUCCAACUUCGAGGAAGAUAACCCGAAUGGAUUAUAUCAUCUAAAUCCAGCAUCCUAUGAGAUCAAACAGAAUAAUGUACACAUAUGCCAAAGAUGAUUGAAGUAUUGCUGGUGCUCACUUCCGCUUCACUAAGUAUGUGUUUCAUUGAUAUACGUAAUUUGCCACCGCCAUGAAAGAAAUUCAAAGUCCUCUGUUUGUGCCAGUUGAUUUCUAUGAUAUCUGGAGGCUUUUAAAAUAGGGAUCCAAAAUAGAUGUGCCCUUGUCACCCCUGUGUUUAAGCUCUCUCCAACAGGAAAUGGCACGGGUUCAAAUUUUUUUUAUACUGGAAGCCACAUGUAGCUAGAUAAGAAUCAUGUCUUGUCUAUGACUAAGCAUUGACAUUUCAAUGUUUAAAAUAUAGUCAAAAUGAUCCAUGGUGAACCCACCUGAGACUAUUUUUCUUUGUCUAAAGUCCCACUUUCUAACUUCUUGAAAGGGAAGGUGGAGCUCUGGGGGUUGUGACAUGACGAUGUUAUGUUAAGGAAAUGGAAGUUUGCUUUAUUGUUCACGUUCAAAGACGUGGCUGCUAGAGAAGGCUUUGCUACCAGACAGAGCAUUGCCUCCACCCACACCAGCAUGGAUCUCUGCCUUCUCCAUCCUCACCAACAGGUUUAAAACACAGCAUAGAGGGGGGGGGGGGGGGGGAAAGCUAUUCGCUUUUGCCAAAUCGCAGAUGUCAAAUUUAACACACGUGGGAAGAAAAAAUAAAAAGGAGAAAUGAGUGGUAUUUCC
ensembl:lncRNA